rnacentral:pre_miRNA from 1 species
AAUAAGUACAGUUUUACACUAUUCACGUUCAACGUUUGACCAUUCGUUUUAUUUGAAAAGUUUUUAUGAUUAAUAUUUUUAUUACUAAUAGAUGAUAAAACAUGAAUAGUACUUUAUGUGUAAUUAAAUAUUUUUAAAUUUUUCACAAAAUUUUCAAAUAAGACGGACGGUCAAACGUUGGGUACGGAUAUCCACGGCUGCACUUAUU